rnacentral:rRNA from 1 species
CCUACGGGUGGCAGCAGUGGGGAAUAUUGGACAAUGGGCGAAAGCCUGAUCCAGCCAUGCCGCGUGUGUGAAGAAGGCCUUCGGGUUGUAAAGCACUUUCAGUGGGGAAGAAAGCCUUGGGGCUAAUACCCUCGAGGAAGGACAUCACCCACAGAAGAAGCACCGGCUAACUCCGUGCCAGCAGCCGCGGUAAUACGGAGGGUGCGAGCGUUAAUCGGAAUUACUGGGCGUAAAGCGCGCGUAGGCGGUCUGAUAAGCCGGUUGUGAAAGCCCCGGGCUCAACCUGGGAACGGCAUCCGGAACUGUCAGGCUAGAGUGCAGGAGAGGAAGGUAGAAUUCCCGGUGUAGCGGUGAAAUGCGUAGAGAUCGGGAGGAAUACCAGUGGCGAAGGCGGCCUUCUGGACUGACACUGACGCUGAGGUGCGAAAGCGUGGGUAGCAAACAGGAUGAGAUACCCCAGUAGUC